CCUACGGGUGGCAGCAGUGGGGAAUAUUGCACAAUGGGCGCAAGCCUGAUACAGCCAUGCCGCGUGUGUGAAGAAGGCCUUCGGGUUGUAAAGCACUUUCAGCGGGGAGGAAGGCGUUAAGGUUAAUAACCUUGGCGAUUGACGUUACCCGCAGAAGAAGCACCGGCUAACUCCGUGCCAGCAGCCGCGGUAAUACGGAGGGUGCAAGCGUUAAUCGGAAUUACUGGGCGUAAAGCGCACGCAGGCGGUCUGUCAAGUCGGAUGUGAAAUCCCGGGCUCAACCUGGGAACUGCAUUCGAAACUGGCAGGCUAGAGUCUUGUAGAGGGGGGUAGAAUUCCAGGUGUAGCGGGGAAAUGCGUAGAGAUCUGGAGGAAUACCGGUGGCGAAGGCGGCCCCCUGGACAAAGACUGACGCUCAGGUGCGAAAGCGUGGGGAGCAAACAGGAUAGAUACCCCAGUAGUC
rnacentral:rRNA from 1 species